UGGCAGACGGGUGAGUAACAUGUGGGUAUCUACCCUUUGGCCUGGAAUAACACGAGGAAACUUGUGCUAAUACCGGAUAAGUCUUUACGGAGAAAGCUUUAUGCACCAUUGGAUGAGCCCGCACUUGAUUAGUUUGUUGGUAGGGUAAUGGCCUACCAAGACUAUGAUCAAUAGCUGAUUUGAGAGGAUGAUCAGCCACAUUGGGACUGAGACACGGCCCAAACUCCUACGGGAGGCAGCAGUGGGGAAUCUUGCACAAUGGAGGAAACUCUGAUGCAGCGAUGCCGCGUGAGUGAAGAAGGCCUUUGGGUUGUAAAGCUCUUUCGUCGGGGAAGAAAAUGACUGUACCCGAAUAAGAAGGUCCGGCUAACUUCGUGCCAGCAGCCGCGGUAAUACGAAGGGACCUAGCGUAGUUCGGAAUUACUGGGCUUAAAGAGUUCGUAGGUGGUUGAAAAAGUUGGUGGUGAAAUCCCA
rnacentral:rRNA from 1 species